ensembl:lncRNA
AGUUAAACAGGAGAAAUUCACCAGGGGCGACUUCUUCUAGGAGCUCUGCCUCCAUCUGUUGGAGGACAGGGGUACUGCAGUACAAGAGGUCUGCUGGAGGAGAGGGGUACUGCAGUACAAGAGGUCUGCUGGAGGACAGGGGUACUGCAGUACAAGAGGUCUGCUGGGGGACAGGGGUACUGCAGUACAAGAGGUCUGCUGGAGGACAGGGGUACUGCAGUACAAGAGGUCUGCUGGAGGACAGGGGUACUGCAGUACAAGAGGUCUGCUGGAGGAGAGGGGUACUGCAGUACAAGAGGUCUGCUGGAGGAGAGGGGUACUGCAGUACAAGAGGUCUGCUGGAGGACAGGGGUACUGCUACAGCCCUACAGGU